GUGUUUAUUGUACCUUGUUGCUUCGGCGGGCCCGCCGUUUUCGAACGGCCGCCGGGGAGGCCUUGCGCCCCCGGGCCCGCGCCCGCCGAAGACCCCAACAUGAACUCUGUUCUGAAAGUAUGCAGUCUGAGUUUGAUUACCAUAAUCAAUUAAAACUUUCAACAACGGAUCUCUUGGUUCCGGCAUCGAUGAAGAACGCAGCGAAAUGCGAUAAGUAAUGUGAAUUGCAGAAUUCAGUGAAUCAUCGAGUCUUUGAACGCACAUUGCGCCCCCUGGUAUUCCGGGGGGCAUGCCUGUCCGAGCGUCAUUGCUGCCCUCAAGCACGGCUUGUGUGUUGGGCCCCCGUCCCCGGUUCUCCCCGGGGACGGGCCCGAAAGGCAGCGGCGGCACCGCGUCCGAUCCUCGAGCGUAUGGGGCUUUGUCACCCGCUCUGUAGGCCCGGCCGGCGCCAGCCGACACCCCAACUUUAUUUUCUAAGGUUGACCUCGGAUCAGGUAGGGAUACCCGCUGAACUUAAGCAUAUCAAA
rnacentral:rRNA from 1 species